rnacentral:lncRNA from 1 species
UUUAAAUUGGUGUCCCAAUGGGAGCUCCGAGACGACCCCGUGCUACUGCUUUCAGUGUCCUGCGGAAGGAAUGUGAACCAUUUAGAAAUUUGGCUUCAUUAAUUAGAAUGCAACCAUGUGGAGCUAAUUACGCGGGGGUGUAUUCCUUACCAGAACAAGCUCAAGCGCCCUGGUCUCCGCAUCCGUGGUAAGCUCCUUUGUUACCGAGUCCACCUUGUACCGGGCCCUGACAUAGUUCCUGGUCUGCUUGUCACCGUAUUUGUCGAAGCGGGGUGGUAGGCCUUGCUCGGCACGCUCCGCGUCCUCCUUGUCCCAUAUAGGGUCCGCUACUCUGUAACCGUCGGGACCGAGUUGGUGGAUCCCUAAGUUCAACUCUCGCAUUUCUUUCCCCCACU